UGAUGACAUUCUCCGGAAUCGCUGCAUCGCCGUGAUGAAAGCGCUUUUGAACCCUUUUCCAUCUGACGGCUGGGCUCGC
rnacentral:snoRNA from 1 species